rnacentral:rRNA from 1 species
GACGAACGCUGGCGGCGUGCUUAACACAUGCAAGUCGAACGGAAAGGCCCUGCUUUUGUGGGGUGCUCGAGUGGCGAACGGGUGAGUAACACGUGAGUAACCUGCCCUUGACUUUGGGAUAACUUCAGGAAACUGGGGCUAAUACCGGAUAGGAGCUCCUGCUGCAUGGUGGGGGUUGGAAAGUUUCGGCGGUUGGGGAUGGACUCGCGGCUUAUCAGCUUGUUGGUGGGGUAGUGGCUUACCAAGGCUUUGACGGGUAGCCGGCCUGAGAGGGUGACCGGCCACAUUGGGACUGAGAUACGGCCCAGACUCCUACGGGAGGCAGCAGUGGGGAAUAUUGCACAAUGGGCGGAAGCCUGAUGCAGCAACGCCGCGUGCGGGAUGACGGCCUUCGGGUUGUAAACCGCUUUCGCCUAUGACGAAGCGUGAGUGACGGUAAUGGGUAAAGAAGCACCGGCUAACUACGU